rnacentral:misc_RNA from 1 species
UCCUGGUUUCCCAGGCAGUCCCAUCAGAGUGCUCCCGAAGGAUAGCAACUGACAGCGAGAGUUGCGCUCGUUAGAGGACUUAACCGAACAUCUCACGACACGAGCUGACGACAGCCAUGCAGCACCUGUGUAUCUGUCUGGAUCAAAGACCCAGAAAAUUGUAUUUCUACAACGGUCAAAUACAUGUCAAGCCUAGGUAAGGUUCCUCGCGUAGUGUCGAAUUAAACCACAUGUUCCACCGCUUGUGCGGACCCCCGUCAAUUCCUUUGAGUUUUAGUCUUGCGACCGUAAUCCCCAGGCGGAUCACUUAACGCGUUAGCUACGACACCAACUUCGCGAUUGAAGCUGACGUCCAGUGAUCAUCGUUUAGGGCGUGGACUAC